GGGUGGUUGGCGCAAUGGUAGCGCGUUGGUUUUCGGCUCGAAGAUCACCAAAGGUUGAGGGUUCGAGGUAAGGAUUACUCCUUACUUUGAACAAUUCG